ACCAGACUCCUACGGGAGGCAGCAGUGGGGAAUAUUGCACAAUGGGGGGAACCCUGAUGCAGCGACGCCGCGUGGGUGAAGGAGCACCUCGGUGCGUAAAGCCCUAUCGGCAGGGAAGAAACAGACGGUACCUGACUAAGAAGCCCCGGCUAACUACGUGCCAGCAGCCGCGGGAAUACGUAGGGGGCAAGCGUUAUCCGGAUUUACUGGGUGUAAAGGGGGCGCAGACGGCAAUGCAAGCCAGGAGUGAAAGCCCGGGGCCCAACCCCGGGACUGCUCUUGGAACUGCAUGGCUGGAGUACAGGAGGGGCAGGCGGAAUUCCUAGUGUAGCGUUGAAAUGCGUAGAUAUUAGGAGGAACACCGGUGGCGAAGGCGGCCUGCUGGACUGUGACUGACGUUGAGGCCCGAAGGCGUGGGGAGCAAACAGGAUUAGAUACCCGAGUAGA
rnacentral:rRNA from 1 species